GUUUACCAAUUAGCUCAACUGGCUAGAGCGUGGUGCUGAUAAAGCCAAGGUUGCAGGUUUGAUCCCCGUAUAGGACA